GGAUUCUGAAGGUGUUUUUGAUGCUUUCUUAACGCCGUUAACCUCGAUGCACUUUUUCGCUCGAAACAAAACGGCAAGAAAAUCAUGCGCGCCCCACGGCCUUACACUUGGAUUGGCCGCGAAAAGGAUAUAUAGAAACAAGAGUGAUGUACUGUCGGGUGCGAUCAUACCAGCACUAAUGCACCGGAUCCCAUCAGAACUCCGCAGUUAAGCGUGCUUGGGCGAGAGUAGUACUAGGAUGGGUGACCUCCCGGGAAGUCCUCGUGUUGCACCCCUUUUUUUUUUUAAUUUUUUUUUGCCUAAAACGAGUCUAAACUGAAAACCCAUAACUUUUGAACCGUGAGGAACUACGUCGCCCAUAGCACCAUUUCGGAAGAGCCCCAGAAACCAUAAUGGGCGGUGAAUAGGGGGCGCAAUUUUUCGGGCUCAAAUUCAGCCGUUUUGACCCUCAAACGGGCUGCGGAAAGUUAUGGCACGUAAAAAAGAUCGAAAGCGGAUUCUCAAGGUGUUUUUGAUGCUUUCUUAACGCCGUUAACCUCGAUGCACUUUUUUUCGCUCGAAACAAAACGGCAAGAAAAUCAUGCGCGCCCCACGGCCUUACACUUGGAUUGGCCGCGAAAAGGAUAUAUAGAAACGAGAGUGAUGUACUGACGGGUGCGAUCAUACCAGCACUAAUGCACCGGAUCCCAUCAGAACUCCGCAGUCAAGCGUGCUUGGGCGAGAGUAGUACUAGGAUGGGUGACCUCCCGGGAAGUCCUCGUGUUGCACCCCUUUUUAUUUUUUUAAUUUUUUUUUAGCCUAAAACGAGUCUAAACUUGAAAACCUCAUAACUUUUGAACCGUGAGGAACUACGUCGCCCAUAGCACCAUUUCGGAGAGCCCCAGAAACCAUAAUGGGCGGUGAAUAGGGGGCGCAAUUUUUCGGGCUCAAAUUCAGCCGUUUUGACCCUCAAACGGGCUGCGGAAAGUUAUGGCACGUAAAAAAGAUCGAAAGCGGAUUCUCAAGUGUUUUUGAUGCUUUCUUAACGCCGUUAACCUCGAUGCACUUUUUCGCUCGAAACAAAACGGCAAGAAAAUCAUGCGCGCCCCACGGCCUUACACUUGGAUUGGCGCGAAAAGGAUAUAUAGAAACGAGAGUGAUGUACUGACGGGUGCGAUCAUACCAGCACUAAUGCACCGGAUCCCAUCAGAACUCCGCAGUUAAGCGUGCUUGGGCGAGAGUAGUACUAGGAUGGGUGACCUCCCGGGAAGUCCUCGUGUGUUGCACCCCUUUUUAUUUUUAAUUUUUUUUAGCCUAAAACGAGUCUAAACUUGAAAACCUCAUAACUUUUGAACCGUGAGGAACUACGUCGCCCAUAGCACCAUUUCGGAAAGCCCCAGAAACCAUAAUGGGCGGUGAAUAGGGGGCGCAAUUUUUCGGGCUCAAAUUCAGCCGUUUUGACCCUCAAACGGGCUGCGGAAAGUUAUGGCACGUAAAAAAGAUCGAAAGCGGAUUCUCAAGGUGUUUUUGAUGCUUUCUUAACGCCGUUAACCUCGAUGCACUUUUUCGCUCGAAACAAAACGGCAAGAAAAUCAUGCGCGCCCACGGCCUUACACUUGGAUUGGCCGCGAAAAGGAUAUAUAGAAAGAAACGAGUGAUGUACUGACGGGUGCGAUCAUACCAGCACUAAUGCACCGGAUCCCAUCAGAACUCCGCAGUUAAGCGUGCUUGGGCGAGAGUAGUACUAGGAUGGGUGACCUCCCGGGAAGUCCUCGUGUUGCACCCCUUUUUAUUUUUUAAUUUUUUUUUAGCCUAAACGAGUCUAAACUUGAAAACCUCAUAACUUUUGAACCGUGAGGAACUACGUCGCCCAUAGCACCAUUUCGGAAAGCCCCAGAAACCAUAAUGGGCGGGUGAAUAGGGGGCGCAAUUUUUCGGGCUCAAAUUCAGCCGUUUUGACCCUCAAACGGGCUGCGGAAAGUUAUGGCACGUAAAAAAGAUCGAAAGCGGAUUCUCAAGGUGUUUUGAUGCUUUCUUAACGCCGUUAACCUCGAUGCACUUUUUCGCUCGAAACAAACGGCAAGAAAAUCAUGCGCGCCCCACGGCCUUACACUUGGAUUGGCCGCGAAAAGGAUAUAUAGAAACGAGAGUGAUGUACUGACGGGUGCGAUCAUACCAGCACUAAUGCACCGGAUCCAUCAGAACUCCGCAGUUAAGCGUGCUUGGGCGAGAGUAGUACUAGGAUGGGUGACCUCCCGGGAAGUCCUCGUGUUGCACCCCUUUUUAUUUUUUAAUUUUUUUUUAGCCUAAAACGAGUCUAAACUUGAAAACCCCAUAACUUUUGAACCGUGAGGAACUACGUCGCCCAUAGCACCAUUUCGGAAAGCCCCAGAAACCAUAAUGGGCGGUGAAUAGGGGGCGCAAUUUUUCGGGCUCAAAUUCAGCCGUUUUGACCCUCAAACGGGCUGCGGAAAGUUAUGGCAGAAAAAAAAAGACCGAAAGCGGAUUUUCAAGGUGUUUUUGAUGCUUUCUUAACGCCGUUAACCUCGAUGCACUUUUUCGCUCGAAACAAAACGGCAAGAAAAUCAUGCGCGCCCCACGGCCUUACACUUGGAUUGGCCGCGAAAAGGAUAUAUAGAAACGAGAGUGAUGUACUGUCGGGUGCGAUCAUACCAGCACUAAUGCACCGGAUCCCAUCAGAACUCCGCAGUUAAGCGUGCUUGGGCGAGAGUAGUACUAGGAUGGGUGACCUCCCGGGAAGUCCUCGUGUUGCACCCCUUUUUAUUUUUUAAUUUUUUUAGCCUAAAACGAGUCUAAACUUGAAAACCUCAUAACUUUUGAACCGUGAGGAACUACGUCGCCCAUAGCACCAUUUCGGAAAGCCCCAGAAACCAUAAUGGGCGGUGAAUAGGGGGCGCAAUUUUCGGGCUCAAAUUCAGCCGUUUUGACCCUCAAACGGGCUGCGGAAAGUUAUGGCACGUAAAAAAGAUCGAAAGCGGAUUCUCAAGGUGUUUUUAAUGCUUUCUUAACGCCGUUAACCUCGAUGCACUUUUUCGCUCGAAACAAAACGGCAAGAAAUCAUGCGCGCCCCACGGCCUUACACUUGGAUUGGCCGCGAAAAGGAUAUAUAGAAACGAGAGUGAUGUACUGACGGGUGCGAUCAUACCAGCACUAAUGCACCGGAUCCCAUCAGAACUCCGCAGUUAAGCGUGCUUGGGCGAGAGUAGUAGUACUAGGAUGGGUGACCUCCCGGGAAGUCCUCGUGUUGCACCCCUUUUAUUUUUUAAUUUUUUUUUGCCUAAAACGAGUCUAAACUUGAAAAACCUCAUAACUUUUGAACCGUGAGGAACUACGUCGCCCAUAGCACCAUUUCGGAAAGCCCCAGAAACCAUAAUGGGCGGUGAGGUGAAUAGGGGGCGCAAUUUUUCGGGCUCAAAUUCAGCCGUUUGACCCUCAAACGGGCUGCGGGCGGAAAGUUAUGGCACGUAAAAAAGAUCGAAAGCGGAUUCUCAAGGUGUUUUUGAUGCUUUCUAACGCCGUUAACCUCGAUGCACUUUUUCGCUCGAAACAAAACGGCAAGAAAAUCAUGCGGCCCCACGGCCUUACACUUGGAUUGGCCGCGAAAAGGAUAUAUAGAAACGAGAGUGAUGUACUGACGGGUGCGAUCAUACCAGCACUAAUGCACGGAUCCCAUCAGAACUCCGCAGUUAAGCGUGCUUGGGCGAGAGUAGUACUAGGAUGGGGACCUCCCGGGAAGUCCUCGUGUUGCACCCCUUUUUAUUUUUUAAUUUUUUUUUAGCCUAAAACGAGUCUAAACUUGAAAACCUCAUAACUUUUGAACCGUGAGGAACUACGUCGCCCAUAGCACCAUUUCGGAAAGCCCCAGAAACCAUAAUGGCGGGUGAUGAAGGGGCGCAAUUUUCGGGCUCAAAUUCAGCCGUUUUGACCCUCAAACGGGCUGCGGAAAGUUAUGGCACGUAAAAAAGAUCGAAAGCGGAUUCUCAAGGUGUUUUUGAUGCUUUCUUAACGCCGUUAACCUCGAUGCACUUUUUCGCUCGAAACAAAACGGCAAGAAAAUCAUGCGCGCCCCCACGGCCUUACACUUGGAUUGGCCGCGCGAAAAGGAUAUAUAGAAACGAGAGUGAUGUACUGUCGGGUGCGAUCAUACCAGCACUAAUGCACCGGAUCCCAUCAGAACUCCGCAGUUAAGCGUGCUUGGGCGAGAGUAGUACUAGGAUGGGUGACCUCCCGGGAAGUCCUCGUGUUGCACCCCUUUUUAUUUUUUAAUUUUUUUUAGCCUAAAACGAGUAUAAACUUGAAAACCUGAAACUUUUGAACCGUGAGGAACUACGUCGCCCAUAGCACCAUUUCGGAGAGCCCCAGAAACCAUAAUGGGCGGUGAAUAGGGGGCGCAAUUUUUCGGGCUCAAAUUCAGCCGUUUUGACCCUCAAACGGGCUGCGGAAAGUUAUGGCACGUAAAAAAGAUCGAAAGCGGAUUCUCAAGGUGUUUUUGAUGCUUUCUUAACGCCGUUAACCUCGAUGCACUUUUUCGCUCGAAACAAAACGGCAAAAAAAAUCAUGUGGGCCCCACGGCCUUACACUUGGAUUGGCCGGGGAAAGGAUAUAUAGAAACGAGAGUGAUGUACUGACGGGUGCGAUCAUACCAGCACUAAUGCACCGGAUCCCAUCAGAACUCCGCAGUGAAGCGUGCUUGGGCGAGAGUAGUAUUAGGAUGGGUGACCUCCCGGGAAGUCCUCGUGUUGCACCCCUUUUUAUUUUAUAAUUUUUUUUUAGCCUAAAACGAGUCUAAACUUGAAAACCUCAUAACUUUUGAACCGUGAGGAACUACGUCGCCCAUAGCACCAUUUCGGAAAGCCCCAGAAACCAUAAUGGUGGUGCGGUGAAUAGGGGGCAAUCGCAAUUUUUCGGGCUCAAAUUCAGCCGUUUUGACCCUCAAACGGGCUGCGGAAAGUUAUGGCACGUAAAAAAGAUCGAAAGCGGAUUCUCAAGGUGUUUUUGAUGCUUUCUUAACGCCGUUAACCUCGAUGCACUUUUUCGCUCGAAACAAAACGGCAAGAAAAUCAUGCGCGCCCCCACGGCCUUACACUUGGAUUGGCCGCGAAAAGGAUAUAUAGAAACGAGAGUGAUGUACUGACGGGUGCGAUCAUACCAGCACUAAUGCACCGGAUCCCAUCAGAACUCAGCAGUUAAGCGUGCUUGGGCGAGAGUAGUACUAGGAUGGGUGACCUCCCGGGAAGUCCUGUGUGCACCCCUUUUAUUUUUUAAUUUUUUUUUAGCCUAAAACGAGUCUAAACUUGAAAACCUCAUAACUUUUGAACCGUGAGGAACUACGUCGCCCAUAGCACCAUUUCGGAAAGCCCCAGAAACCAUAAUGGGGUGAAUAGGGGGCGCAAUUUUCGGGCUCAAAUUCAGCCGUUUUGACCCUCAAACGGGCUGCGGAAAGUUAUGGCACGUAAAAAGAUCGAAAGCGGAUUCUCAAGGUGUUUUUGAUGCUUUCUUAACGCCGUUAACCUCGAUGCACUUUUCGCUCGAAACAAAACGGCAAGAAAAAUCAUGCGCGCCCCACGGCCUUACACUUGGAUUGGCCGCGAAAAGGAUAUAUAGAAACGAGAGUGAUGUACUGACGGGUGCGAUCAUACCAGCACUAAUGCACGGAUCCCAUCAGAACUCCGCAGUGAAAGCGUGCUUGGGCGAGAGUAGUACUAGGAUGGGUGACCUCCCGGGAAGUCCUCGUGUUGCACCCCUUUUUAUUUUUAAAUUUUUUUUUAGCCUAAAACGAGUCUAAACUUGAAAACCUCAUAACUUUUGAACCGUGAGGAACUACGUCGCCCAUAGCACCAUUUCCGGAGAGCCCCAGAAACCAUAAUGGGCGGUGAAUAGGGGGCGCAAUUUUUCGGGCUCAAAUUCAGCCGUUUUGACCCUCAAACGGGCUGCGGAAAGUUAUGGCACGUAAAAAAGAUCGAAAGCGGAUUCUCAAGGUGUUUUGAUGCUUUCUUAACGCCGUUAACCUCGAUGCACUUUUUCGCUUCGAAACAAAACGGCAAGAAAAUCAUGCGCGCCCCACGGCCUUACACUUGGAUUGGCCGCGAAAAGGAUAUAUAGAAACGAGAGUGAUGUACUGACGGGUGCGAUCAUAUACCAGCACUAAUGCACCGGAUCCCAUCAGAACUCCGCAGUUAAGCGUGCUUGGGCGAGAGUAGUACUAGGAUGGGUGACCUCCCGGGAAGUCCUCGUGUUGCACCCCUUUUAUUUUUUAAUUUUUUUUUGCCUAAAACGAGUCUAAACUUGAAAACCUCAUAACUUUUGAACCGUGAGGAACUACGUCGCCCAUAGCACCAUUUCGGAGAAGCCCCAGAAACCAUAAUGGGCGGUGAAUAGGGGGCGCAAUUUUUCGGGCUCAAUUCAGCCGUUUUGACCCUCAAACGGGCUGCGGAAAGUUAUGGCACGUAAAAAAAGAUCGAAAGCGGAUUCUCAAGGUGUUUUUGAUGCUUUCUUAACGCCGUAACCUCGAUGCACUUUUUCGCUCGAACAAAACGGCAAGAAAAUCAUGCGCGCCCCACGGCCUUACACUUGGAUUGGCCGCGAAAAGGAUAUAUAGAAACGAGAGUGAUGUACUGACGGGUGCGAUCAUACCAGCACUAAUGUACCGGAUCCCAUCAGAACUCCGCAGUUAAGCGCGCUUGGGCGAGAGUAGUAUUAGGAUGGGUGACCUCCCGGGAAGUCUUCGUGUUGCACCCCUUUUUAUUUUAUAAUUUUUUUAGCCUAAAACGAGUCUAAACUUGAAAACCUCAUAAAUUUUGAACCGUGAGGAACUACGUCGCCCAUAGCACCAUUUCGGAAAGUCCCAGAAACCAUAAUGGGCGGUGAAUAGGGGGCGCAAUUUUUCGGGCUGAAAUUCAGCCGUUUUGACCCUCAAACGGGCUGCGGAAAGUUAUGGCACGUAAAAAGAUCGAAAGCGGAUUCUCAAUGGUUUUUGAUGCUUUCUUAACGCCGUUAACCUCGAUGCACUUUUUCGCUCGAAACAAAACGGCAAGAAAAUCAUGCGCCCCCACGGCCUUACACUUGGAUUGGCCGCGAAAAGGAUAUAUAGAAACGAGAGUGAUGUACUGACGGGUGCGAUCAUACCAGCACUAAUGCACCGGAUCCCAUCAGAACUCCGCAGUUAAGCGUGCUUGGGCGAGAGUAGUACUAGGAUGGGUGACCUCCCGGGAAGUCCUCGUGUUGCACCCCUUUUUAUUUUUUAAUUUUUUUUUGCCUAAAACGAGUCUAAAACUUGAAAACCUCAUAACUUUUGAACCGUGAGGAACUACGUCGCCCAUAAGCACCAUUUCGGAAAGCCCCAGAAACCAUAAUGGCGGGAAUGCGGUGAAUAGGGGGCGCAAUUUUUCGGGCUCAAAUUCAGCCGUUUUGACCCUCAGACGGGCUGCGGAAAGUUAUGGCACGUAAAAAAGAUCGAAAGCGGAUUCUCAAGGUGUUUUUGAUGCUUUCUUAACGCCGUUAACCUCGAUGCACUUUUUUGCUCGAAACAAAACGGCAAGAAAAUCAUGCGCGCCCCACGGCCUUACACUUGGAUUGGCUGCGAAAAGGAUAUAUAGAAACGAGAGUGAUGUACUGUCGGCUGCGAUCAUACCAGCACUAAUGCACCGGAUCCCAUCAGAACUCCGCAGUGAAGCGUGCUUGGGCGAGAGUAGUACUAGGAUGGGUGACCUCCCGGGAAGUCCUCGUGUUGCACCCCUUUUUAUUUUUUAAUUUUUUUUUAGCCUAAAACGAGUCUAAACUUGAAAACCCAUAACUUUUGAACCGUGAGGAACUACGUCGCCCAUAGCACAUUUCGGAAGCCCCAGAAACCAUAAUGGGCGGUGAAUAGGGGGCGCAAUUUUCGGGCUCAAAAUUCAGCCGUUUUUGACCCUCAACGGGCUGGCGAAAAGUUAUGGCACGUAAAAAAGAUCGAAAGCGGAUUCUCAAGGUGUUUUUGAUGCUUUCUUAACGCCGUUAACUCGAUGCACUUUUCGCUCGAAACAAAACGGCAAGAAAAAUCAUGCGCGCCCCACGGCCUUACACUUGGAUUGGCCGCGAAAAGGAUAUAUAGAAACGAGAGUGAUGUACUGACGGGUGCGAUCAUACCAGCACUAAUGCACCGGAUCCCAUCAGAACUCCGCAGUUAAGCGUGCUUGGGCGAGAGUAGUACUAGGAUGGGUGACCUCCCGGAAGUCCUCUGUUGCACCCCUUUUUAUUUUUUUAAUUUUUUUUUAGGCCUAAAACGAGUCUAAACUUGAAAACCCAUAACUUUUGAACCGUGAGGAACUACGUCGCCCAUAGCACCAUUUCGGAAAGCCCCAGAAAACCAUAAGGGCGGGUGGUGAAUAGGGGGCGCAAUUUUUUCGGGCUCAAAUUCAGCCGUUUUGACCCUCAAACGGGCUGCGGAAAGUUUAUGGCACGUAAAAAAGAUCGAAAGCGGAUUCUCAAGGUGUUUUGAGCUUUCUUAACGCCGUUAACCUCGAUGCACUUUUUCGCUCGAAACAAAACGGCAAGAAAAUCAUGCGCGCCCCACGGCCUUACACUUGGAUCAUACCAGCACUAAUGCACCGGAUCCCAUCAGAACUCCGCAGUUAAGCGUGCUUGGGCGAGAGUAGUACUAGGAUGGGUGACCCUCCGGGAAGUCCUCGUGUUGCACCCCCUUUUUAUUUUUUAAUUUUUUUUUAGCCUAAAACGAGUCUAAACUUGAAAAACCUCAUAACUUUUGAACCGUGAGGAACUACGUCGCCCAUAGCACCAUUUCGGAAAGCCCCAGAAACCAUAAUGGGCGGGUGAAUAGGGGGGGCGCAAUUUUUCGGGCUCAAAUUCAGCCGUUUUGACCCUCAAACGGGCUGCGGAAAGUUAUGGCACGUAAAAAAGAUCGAAAGAUGAUUCUCAAGGUGUUUUUUGCUUUCUUUAACGCCGUUAACCUCGAUAAUUUCGCUUCUCGCUCGAAACAAAACGGCAAGAAAAUCAUGUGGCGCCCCACGGCCUUACACUUGGAUUGGCCGCGAAAAGGAUAUAUAGAAACGAGAGUGAUGUACUGACGGGUGCGAUCAUACCACGCAAUGCACCGGAUCCCAUCAGAACUCCGCAGAUUAAGCGUGCUUGGGCGAGAGUAGUACUAGGAUGGGUGACCUCCCGGGAAGUCCUCGUGUUGCACCCCUUUUUAUUUUUUAAUUUUUUUUUAGCCUAAACGAGUCUAAACUUGAAAACCUCAUAACUUUUGAACCGUGAGGAACUACGCCCCAUAGCACCAUUUCGGAAAGCCCCAGAAACCAUAAUGGGCGGUGAAUAGGGGGCGCAAUUUUUCGGGCUCAAAUUCAGCCGUUUUGACCCUCAAACGGGCUGCGGAAAGUUAUGGCACGUAAAAAAGAUCGAAAGCGGAUUCUCAAGGUGUUUUUGAUGCUUUCUUAACGCCGUUAACCUCGAUGCACUUUUUCGCUCGAAACAAAACGGCAAGAAAAUCAUGUGCGCCCCCACGGCCUACACUUGGAUUGGGCCGCGAAAAGGAUAUAUAGAAACGAGAGUGAUGUACUGACGGGUGCGAUCAUACACAGCACUAAUGCAACCGAUAUCAGAACUCCACGCAGUUAGCGUGUUGGGCUUGGCGAGAGUAGUACUAGGAUGGGUGACCUCCCGGGAAGACUCGUCCUCGUGUUGCCCCCUUUUUAUUUUUUAUUUUUUUAAUUUUUUUUUUACUAAACGAGUCUAAACUUGAAACCUCAUAACUUUUGAACCGUGAGGAACUAGACGUCGCCCAUAGCACCAUUUCGGAAAGCCCCAGAAACACCAUAAGGCGGUGAAUAGGGGGCGCAAUUUUUCGGGCUCAAAUUCAGCCGUUUUGACCCUCAAACGGGCUGCGGAAAGUUAUGGCACGUAAAAAAGAUCGAAAGCGGAUUCUCAAGGUGGUUUUUGAUGCUUUCUUAACGCCGUUAACCUCGAUGCACUUUUUCGCUCGAAACAAAACGGCAAAGAAAAUCAUGCGGGCCCCCACGGCCUUACACUUGGAUUGGCCGCGGAAAGGAUAUAUAGAAACGAGAGUGAUGUACUGACGGGUGCGAUCAUACCAGCACUAAUGCAACCAAUCCCAGAACUCCGCAGUUAAGAGUGUGCUUGGGCGAGAGUAGUACUAGGAUGGGUGACCUCCCGGGAAGUCCUCGUGUUGCACCCCUUUUUUUAUUUUAUAAUUUUUUUUUAGCCUAAAACGAGUCUAAACUUGAAAACCUCAUAACUUUUGAACCGUGAGGAAUACGUCGCCCAUAGCACCAUUUCGGAAGCCCCAGAAACCAUAAUGGGCGGUGGAAUAGGGGGCGCAAUUUUUCGGGCUCAAAUUCAGCCGUUUUGACCCUCAAACGGGCUGCGGAAAGUUAUGGCACGUAAAAAAGAUCGAAAGCGGAUUCUCAAGGUGUUUUUGAUGCUUUCUUAACGCCGUUAACCUCGAUGCACUUUUUCGCUCGAAACAAAACGGCAAAAAAAUCAUGUGGGCCCCACGGCCUUACACUUGGAUUGGCCGCGAAAAGGAUAUAUAGAAACGAGAGUGAUGUACUGACGGGUGCGAUCAUACCAGCACUAAUGCACCGGAUCCCAUCAGAACUCCGCAGUGAAGCGUGCUUGGGCGAGAGGUAGAGUGUAUAGGAUGGGUGACCUCCGGGAAGUCCUCGUGUUGCACCCCUUUUUAUUUUUUAAUUUUUUUUUAGCCUAAACGAGUCUAAACUUGAAAACCUCAUAACUUUUGAACCGUGAGGAACUACGUCGCCAUAGCACCAUUUCGGAAAGCCCCAGAAACCAUAAUGGGCGGUGAAUAGGGGGCGCAAUUUUUCGGGCUCAAAUUCAGCACGUUUUGACCCUCAAACGGGCUGCGGAAAGUUAUGGCACGUAAAAAAGAUCGAAAGCGGAUUCUCAAGGUUGUUUUUGAUGCUUUCUUAACGCCGUUAACCUCGAUGCACUUUUUCGCUCGAAACAAAACGGCAAGAAAAUCAUGCGCGGCCCACGGUUUACACUUGGAUUGGCCGCGAAAAGGAUAUAUUUGAUGUACUGAGAGUGAGUAUGACGGUGCGAUAUACCAGCACUAAUGCACCGGAUCCCAUCAGAACUCCGCAGUUAAGCGUGCUUUGGGGAGAGUAGUACUAGGAUGGGUGACCUCCCGGGAAGUCCUCGUGUUGCACCCUUUUUUAUUUUUAAUUUUUUUUAGCCUAAAACGAGUCUAAACUUGAAAACCUCAUAACUUUUGAACCGUGAGGAACUACGUCGCCCAUAGCACCAUUCGAAAAGCCCCAGAAACCAUAAUGGGCGGGGUGAUAGGGGGCGCAAUUUUUCGGGCUCAAAUUCAGCCGUUUUGACCCUCAAACGGGCUGCGGAAAGUUAUGGCACGUAAAAAAAAGAUCGAAAGCGGAUUCUCAGGUGUUUUUGAUGCUUUCUUAACGCCGUUAACCUCGAUGCACUUUUUCGCUCGAAACAAAACGGGCAAGAAAAUCAUGCGCGCCCACGGCCUUACACUUGGAUUGGCCGCGAAAAGGAUAUAUAGAAACGAGAGUGAUGUACUGAUGAUGUUCUGCGAUCAUACCAGCACUAAUGCACCGGAUCACCACAGAAACUCCGCACAGUUAAGCGUGCUUGGGCGAGAGUAGUACUAGGAUGGGUGACCUCCCGGGAAGUCCUCGUGUUGCACCCCCCUUUUAUUUUUUAAUUUUUUUUUAGCCUAAAACGAGUCUAAAUGAAAACUUCUAAUAACAUUUUUGAACCGUGAGGAACUACUGCGCCAUAGCACCAUUUCGGAAAGCCCCAGAAACCAUAAUGGGCGGUGAAUAGGGGGCGCAAUUUUUCGGGCUCAAAUUCAGCCGUUUGACCCUCAAACGGGCUGCGGAAAGUUAUGGCACGUAAAAAGAUCGAAAGCGGAUUCUCAAGGUGUUUUGAUGCUUUCUUAACGCCGUUAACCUCGAUGCACUUUUUCGCUCGAAACAAAACGGCAAGAAAAUCAUGUGCGCCCCCACGGCCUUACACUUGGAUUGGCCGCGAAAAGGAUAUAUAGAACGAGAGUGAUGUACUGAAGGUGCGCGCAUCACAGCACUAAUGCACCGGAUCCCAUCAGAACUCUCGCAGUUAAGCGUGCUUGGGCGAGAGUAGUACUAGGAUGGGUGACCUCCCGGGAAGCUCGGUUGGCACCCCUUUUUAUUUUUAUAAUUUUUUUUUGCUCUAAAACGAGUCUAAAACUUGAAAAACUCAUAACUUUUGAACCGUGAGGAACUACGUCGCCCAUAGCACCAUUUCGGAAAAGCCCAGAAAACCAUAAUGGGGCGGUGAAUAGGGGGCGCAAUUUUUCGGGCUCAAAUUCAGCCGUUUUGACCCUCAAACGGGCUGCGGAAAGUUAUGGCACGUAAAAAAGAUCGAAAGCGGAUUCUCAAGGUGUUUUUGAUGCUUUCUUAACGCCGUUAACCUCGAUGCAUUUUUCGCUCGAAACAAAACGGCAAGAAAAUCAUGGCGCGCCCCACGGCCUUACACUUGGAUUGGCCGCGAAAAGGAUA
rnacentral:lncRNA from 1 species